GUGCAAUCGCCUCUUAUUUCGUGCGAAAACAGAAGAUGAAAGUCAAGGAUGAAAAGUUUUUGUCCACAUAAUAUAUUUAUUAUUGCGCAUAAUAUACUUUACACGCCGAAAGAAAGAAAGAAAGGAGAAGAAGGGUCAUAAAUAGAGAAAAGGAAAAGGACAAAAAAAAGGGACAAAAGUUUGGUCAACCUUGGAAAAAUUUAUAGGAUUUGGUCUUGAAGAGCCUUGGAUCGUAAUGAAUAUCAUUAUAAUAGAACAAUGAAGAAAGAAUCUUAUGAAUAUUGGAAGAUUUAUAAGCUUUACUAAGAUAAUUUGUUAUAAGGGAAUGAAACGAAAAAAAAUGUACAUAAAAAUAAAGGAUAUCCAAAUCCGAAAGGAAACAUAAAAUUACGUGCUAUCACAUAUCAAGAAAUUUAAUUCUAGAAAAAUAACAAUUUAUUCGUCUUUAUUUUUUUACUCAAAAGUAACAAAUGCUCUGGCAUUAAAAAAACCAUAAAUCUAGUUUAGAAAUUUUAUAAGUCUCAAAAUUUUCUUUUGCACAAUGUAACUGUGAGAAAUAAUAAUUUUUAUUAAUUCUCUUUUGUUCAUUUUAAUUUAAAAAGCUAUUAAAAAAAUAUAAAUUAAAUAUUAAUGAGAUAAAACAUACGAUUUGAAAUUCAUUGAUUAAACUAAACUUUGCCUGGUGCAAAUUUCUAUCUGGAUUAAUGACGUAUCAUAAAUAAGAGAUUUUAAAGGAUAAAGAUUCCAACGGUUUAAGAGAAAGUGAACAUUUUUGAAGAAAUUGUCUGGUCACCCACCACUAUCGAAAAUGGUCCCCUCUUCUGAGCAAGGCUAGGUAAAAAGGGAAAAGGCUUCAAAUCCCAUUGGUAAUUUAAAUUGGCAUAUUCGAAAAAUUAACCAAUCAGCAUGCUUUAACAAAAUAUAAGGUCAACCUGAUAUAAUAUAAGAUAAACCUGAACGAAGUGUCGAACAGAAGCAAAUCAACCAUCGAAGAAAUCAUUUCAAAUCAAUAUCGAAGAUCAAUAUCGUUCACACUUCGCCUACAGGAUCGAUUCUUCGAAUAGUUCUUUAUCAUUGAUAGAUACGAAAAUUUUAGUUACAAGAAUUUAUAGAUUCUGCUGAAAGAUUGGCAAACAAAAGUUGAAUCAAUUUGUUCAGAACGGACGAAACGUGCUAUGGAUUGCAACCAUCGUCGUGGAUAUACGUUCGCCAUAAUAUUCUAAUAAUACAAUACAGAAAAAAUAAUGAUCUCUAAGAAUUAUAUUAGAGAUAAGUGUGUAAAGAACAUCUUUACUUACUAGUGUAAGAGGAAGAUUACGCCAUAAAAGAAUGACUUUAUAGAAAUGACUAUUAUAAUCAACCUACAUUUUCAAAAUGAUUGUAAUUCAAGCAAAAGAAAAUGAAGAUUUUCUACCUCUGUUUUAUCAUCAUUAUUUAAUUAAUCGCAUAUAUUUACUGCAGAGAACUGCCAUUUCAUUCACGAAGAGUGUAAAACGAAGAUUACGCCACGACAAAAGAAUGAUUUUAUGGAAUAAUUGUUAUGGUGGUCAACCUGCAUUUUCAAAAUGAUUAUAGUUCAAGCAAAAGAAAAUGAAGAGUUUCUGCCUCUGUUUUAUCAUCAUUAUUUAAUUAAUCGCACAUUUUUACUGCAGAGAACUGCCACUUCACUCACGAAGAGUGUAAAACAAAGAUCACGCCACGAUAAAAGAAUGAUUUUAUGGAAUAAUUGUUAUGGUGAUCAACCUGCAUUUUCAAAAUGAUUGUAGUUCAAGCAAAAGAAAAUGAAGAGUUUCUGCCUCUGUUUUAUCAUCAUUAUUUAAUUAAUCGCGUGAUAACAUCUUUAUUGCAGAGAACUGCCAUUUCAUUCGCGAAGAGUUGUAAAAUGAAGAUUGCAAUACUAGUAUGAUCAAUCUACGUUUAAAGAUGAAAUCAAGCAAAAUCUUCAGUACCAUCACUCUAUCAUCAUUCGUUGUCAUCAAAUAUCCUGGUUUAAAUCGAAAAUUAAAUCAAGUCUUAAUUCUUGUGACUUUGUGCGAAAAUAAUUUUUUAUUCGAUAAAUUAUUAUUUUGCGAAGAAAAUUCUUAAUUCGCACAUUUUAUAGUGAAUCAGAAAAGAUUUGAAAAUAAUUGCAGUUUAUAUAAGAAGAUAUGAAAAAAGAAUUCGCAAGGAUUGUAUGUUAAUUAAACAAUCCAUGUUACAAAUUAUUAGAAGAUCAAUGAAUAUCUUUGAUUAUCGAGAUAUGGAUCUAUAAAUCUUGAAUCUACGAAUUUAUUAAUAAACAUCGAUUAUUUAGAUUAUUCUAAAUCAAGAUUAAUACGAAUCUUUUGAUUGAAUCAAAAAUAAGAAUGUUCUACAGAAAUUUGGACAGCGUAAAUUCAACAUCUCGCCCAAAAUGUACAGAAUUGCAAACUCAAAUAUACAAAAGAUACACGCUUCAUCCUGAUUCAUCGCUUAAUUUUGUAUGAUUCUAAUUGUGUAUGUACAAAAGAGAGAUUUCAUUUUCAUGGACUAUCUUGACUACAUUUAAAGAUGAUUGCAGUUUAUUCAUACGAAUGUUUUAUCAUUGAGGUUUUACAAAGGAUUGAACAAUGAUAAUUCAAGGCCAUUCCAUCUUCCUUUCACGAUUUCAUUCUAUACAUUAUGUUUUACUAUAUAGAAAAUGAAUAUCUAAUCUAUCACGAAUGACAAAUGAAAAUCCUGAUCAUAACGAGACGAUUUUCUAUUAAUAGAUCAACUUAAAUAACAUUUAAAAUGUUUGUACAUUGUAAAAUAAAAAGAAGAAUAUACUCAAAAAAACGGUUUGUGUUUGAGUAUAUAUUAAUUAAUUAGUCUAUCAAUUAUUAAAAAACGAUCUGCGAUCAUCAAGAUUCUUGAGAAAAUGUUGGACAACAAAUAUUGAAUAACUUGUACAGAAUGUGAUAUGGAGAAUAUAAUGGAUGACAUAAUUAAAUCGUGAACUCGACAAAGAUUUUGCGACUUCAUUCUACAUAAGAAUAAUGUUUUAAACGACAGAUAAUUACUUUAUCUGUUUAAAUGUUUGUACAUUGUAAAAUAAAAAGAAGAAUAUACUCGAAGAAACGUUUUGUGUUUGAGUAUAUGUUAAUUAAUUAGUCUAUCAAUUAUUAAAAAACGAAUUGCGAUCAUCAAAGUAAGAAUAUAAAUCUACGAGUCAUCCUGUAUAUGACACAAUUAAAUCAUGAACUGGAUUUGGAAAGAUUUUGCGACUUCAUUCUACAUAAGAAUAAUGUUUUAAACAAUAGAUAAUCACUUUAUCUAUUAAAUGAAAAUCUUUAUGAUGAAGAAAUAUUUUCAUUGGAAUAAGUCAGUAACAUAUGGACGAUUUGUGAUUGCAAAUUUUAACCAUCAAAUACUCGAAUACGCGAUUUUCCAUAUAAGGGCGAUUUUUUACAAUGUACAAAGUCAUCUUUUAAUUGCACGUAUGAAAAUCUCUAAUAAAAAAGAUUUUAUGGAUAUCUUGAUUACAUUUAAUCUCUAAUAAAAGAUUUUAUGGAUAUCUUGACUAUAUUUAAAGAUGAUUGUAAUUCAGAUUGGAAGAUUGGCAUUGGAUACCUUCGAGAUAUGAAUCAUCCUAUAUAAUAGCCUGAAUUAAAAUUGAUAUGAACUUUUGGAUUUCAUUGAAUAUUCAGAUUCUGAAGAAAGAUUGGUUGGAUUUUAGCAAAAUUAAACAAUUUGUUCGAAAUGUGUCAUGGACAAGACGUGCAACGCAUGGCAAAUUUAUGUUAUUAACUGCAUGGAAUUAUACAUUUAAUUUUUACGACUUCAUUUUGUAGAACAAAUCUACAAAGAAAUAGCUUUAUUCAUUUGCGAUGAAUGGCAAAUAAAAAUCAUACUAUAAGAUUAGAAACGCUUUCAUUUCCAUGGUAUAAAAUCGUAAUGGUUUGUAUAAAAAAAAAUAUUAAUGAACAUCAUGCGUAUAAUUGAUUGACAUCCCCAAAUUAAAAUCCGCGCUAUCAAUGUGCCAAAUAUCAGGCACUCGUGGAAAAUCUUGAUAAAAAACAUCCUUCCAUAAAGAGAAGCAUAAUUUGGACAUUCUUCUAUAAAAGGACCAUUAUAUAUGGAUAUUAAUAUUUCUAUAGAUUCUCUAAUUUGGAUAUCCAACAUUUUUCUUCAAAACCACUAUUAUAUGUGAUAUAUGAUUUCAAUGAAUAUCCUGUAUAACAGUGAUUAUGAGGCUUUCAUCAUUGAAAUGUGAUUUCAAAAUUGAUUAAAAAAUCGAUUGACAAUCCCCAAAUUAAAAUCCAUACUAUCAUCGUGAAAAAUCUUAAUGAAAAACAUUCUUCAACAAUUAAAAUAAGACACACUUGCAACAUCCACAGUAUCAAUUAUUUUAAAGAAGGAGCAUUAGAUAUGAAUAUUAAUAUUUCUAUGAACCUAUUAAUUUGGACAUCCAACAGCCUUCUGUAUAAAAAGUACCAGAUAUAAAUAUGGAUAUGAAUAUCCUGCAUAGCAAUGAUUGUGAAGAUUUCAUCAUUGGAAUUUGCUAUCGCACAAUUGAUUAAAAAAUUGGCUGACAUCCCCAAAUUAUAAUUAUUAUCAUAUGCGGCAAAAUCAGGCGCUAUUAUUGAAAUUGUCAAUGUAAAACAUUUUUCUAACAAAAGAAA